GCACCCGUAGUUCAACUGGAUAGAAUAUCGGAUUUCGGUUCCGAGGGUUGAAGGUUCGAAUCCUUCCGGGUGUACAA
rnacentral:tRNA from 1 species